GUCCUUAUUGUACACCUUUAUGCAGAAGGUGGCCCAGAGAGCCAGGCUUUUGCUUUCUUCGAUACAUUUUUUCCCACCAUUUUUCACGAGAAUUUCUUGAAGGCUAAAGCAUUGACCUUGGUUUCCCAUGGCUGCUACUAAACUCAGCAAUCAUCUCGCGAUUCAGAUAGUCUUCCAAUGCAUUUCUUCAAAAUAAUACUUCCCUCCACACUUAAAGACCAGAAACUGAAAUCCCAAUAAAGUUUGGUAAAAAAAUUGCCGAUGAAUUGUCUUCAAUUGCUACCAUAACUGUUCCCAAUUGUCGAUCUUGGAAGCUGGGUUUGGAGAAAGCUAAUGGAAGAAUUUUGUUUGUUGAUGGCUGGCAACAAUUUGUGGACUACCAUUCUAUAGCUUCUGGCUAUUUUUUAGUAUUUAGAUAUGACGGGUUUUCAAAAUUCCAUGUCUAUAUAUUUGAUAAAAGUUGUACAGAGAUUGACUACCCAAUCAUUAAUGGCGUAAGCAAUAAUUUGGGGCCUAAGAAGGAAGUUGCAGAUGAUGAUGAUGAUGUUGAAAUUUUAGAACAUUAUGCAGAUUAAAAAAAGGAGAAGGUUUGCAAGUGUGCUACUUGCAUGAAGUGCAAAGUCCUAGAAAGAGCAAAAGUGUAAAUUGGAAGAACAAGAAGAUGAAAUAGGAUUGACAGGGCAUGUGAAUAUAUUUAAUGGGAAUAAAAUGCAUGCCUCAUAUGGUUUGACAACAAUGGAUGAAGAUGGAUUGAUGUUCAUCUGUAGAUCUUUCUUUAGCUCUAAAAUUAAAGCCGUGAUUUCCAAGGAAAGUGAGAAGGCAAUCAAUGCUGCCAGAAGCUGCAAGCGCACACAUCCUUCUUUCUUGGUUCUCUUGAGGAGAUAUAAUUUAAGCUGUAAUUAUGUGGAUGUGCCUGGAGAAUUUGUGAUGAAAUACAUAAGGAAUUGUUCAGAUUUCAUAAAACUUAAAAGUUUUAGUGGAAAGAAGAAAUGGCAUGUAAAGUGCAGUUUGCAAAAAGGGGAAAAGAUCUAUUAAGAGAAUAACCAAAGGAUGGAAUGUUUCUGUCAAGAACAACAAUUUGAAAGUAGAUGAUGUGUGCGUAUUUGAGCUGGUCAAGCACAAGCAGGAUGAUAUUUUGUUGGAAGCUUCAAUAUACUAUGCUGAUGAAUAUGCAGAUCCAGUAAAGAAAUGCUCAAAGUGCUAAUGUAUUCAUAUCAUAUAUAAACUUGUUCCAAGUUUGGUAAUGUUAUAUUUAUUUGCAAUGUAUUAGCAAACUAGAUAACUUAAAUGUGCUAUUUACCAAAAUAAUAAUAAUAAUAAAAACUUGGGUGUUUUAUUUA